rnacentral:rRNA from 1 species
GUGCCAGCAGCCGCGGUAAUACGUAGGGGGCGAGCGUUAUCCGGAUUUACUGGGCGUAAAGCGCGUUAAGGCGGUUGGCAAAGUUGGUUGUGAAAUCUCAGGGCUCAACCCUGAAAUUGCGACCAAUACUGGUCGACUAGAGUGUGAGAGAGGAAGGUGGAAUUCCCGGUGUAGUAGUGAAAUGCGUAGAUAUCGGGAGGAACACCAGUGGCGAAGGCGGCCUUCUGGCUCAUAACUGACGCUGUAGCGCGAAAGCGUGGGGAGCGAACCGGAUUAGAUACCCGGGUAGUCC